UGAGGAAUAUUGCGCAAUGGGGGCAACCCUGACGCAGCAACGCCGCGUGAGUGAGGAAGGUUUUCGGAUUGUAAAGCUCUGUCGAGCGGAAAGAAAUGCAUUAUGGCUAAUAUCCAUAGUGCUUGACGGUACCGCUAAAGGACGCACCGGCUAACUCCGUGCCAGCAGCCGCCGUAAUACGGGGGGUGCAAGCGUUGUUCGGAAUCAUUGGGCGUAAAGCGCGUGUAGGCGGCUUGACAAGUCAGAUGUGAAAUCCCUGGGCUUAACUCAGGAAGUGCAUUUGAAACUGGCAGGCUAGAGUAAGGGGGAGGAAAGUGGAAUUCCUGGUGUAGAGGUGAAAUUCGUAGAUAUCAGGAGGAAGACCGGUGGCGAAGGCGACUUUCUGGCCCUAUACUGACGCUGAGACGCGAAAGCGUGGGUAGCAAACA
rnacentral:rRNA from 1 species